rnacentral:rRNA from 1 species
CGCGGUAAUACAUGGAGGGCUAGCAUUGUUCGGAAUGGCUUAAAGAACCUGUAGAACGAUUUAUAUUUAAAAUAAAUUAGAAUAAAUUAUAAAGUGAUAUGAAAUAAAGUUAGAGGGAUGAAAUACAACGAAAACAUUAUGACAGCAAUAAAAUCACAAUAAUUUAUUGACGUUGUGAGGUGAAGGCUACGGGCGCAACAUGGAUUCGAUACCCAUUUAGUCGUAGCAGUGAACUAUGAAUACAAUAAAAGAAAAGUGAAAAUGAAUAGUAUUCCGCCUGACUAGUACGCUCGCAAGGGUGAAAUACAAGACAUUAGACGGUUGUAGUCAUGAGCAGUGGAGCAUGUUAUUUAAUUCGAUAAUCCUCCUAAAAUCUUACCAUCUCUUGAAUAUCUUACAGGCGUUACAUCGUUGUCGUCAGUUCAUGCCGUGAGGUUUAAUAUUUAGUUAUUUAAUGAACGUAAUCCCUUAUAUAUUUUUUUAUUAUAUAUUAAGCAUUAUUGAGAAAUAAUGGGAAGUCGGGGCCGAAGACUAAUCAUGAUGACCCUUAUGAGAUGGGCUAUAGACGUGUUACGAAGUUAUUGACAAUUAUAUUUAUUUUAAAAUUAAUUUAAAUAUUAAACAAUAAGAUUAUGACAUAGUUACUUUCAUGGAUUGUAGUCUGAAAUUCGAUUACAUGAAGGAGGAAUUGCUAGUAAUCGCGAACUAGAGUGUCGCGGUGAAAUUUUUAACUACUUCGUACUAACCACUCAUCAACAGCAAGAAACUCUUACUUUCCUUACUUUUUAAUUAUCUUUUCCCUCCGAAAGGUGGUGAUAAUUAUUAAGACCUAGGUUUGUUUACAAGUGACCUGCUGUAAGUUGAAAUACAGUU